GACGAACGUUGGCGGCGUGCUUAAUACAUGCAAGUCGACUGAAGCAGUGGUAGCAAUAUCGCUGUGGAGGUGGCGCACGGGUGAGUAACACGUAGGUAAUCUGCCUUCAGGUCUGGCAUAACUCCGUGAAACCGGGGCUAAUAGCAGAUGAUGCAGCGGCUCGACAUCGAGACAGUUGUUAAAGCUAUGGCGCCUGAAGAUGAGCCUGCGUCUGAUUAGCUAGUUGGCGGGGUAACGGCCCAACAAGGCAACGGUCAGUAGCUGGUCUGAGAGGAUGAUCGGGAACAAUGGAACGGAGACACGGUCCAGACUCGUACGGGAGGCAGAAGUAAGGAAAAUGGCUCAAUGGGAGAAAUGCUGAAGCAGCAACGCCGCGUGGGGGACGAAGGGCUUUUGCUUGUAAACCUCUGUAGUGAGAGAAAAAAAUCCCAAUCUUUGGGACAUGAUGGUAUCUCAAAAGUAAGCCCCGGCUAACUACGUG
rnacentral:rRNA from 1 species